GCCCGCGUAGGCUAGUGGAUACGCCGUCCGUUUCCGGAGCGGGAGGUCGCAGGUUCGAUCCCUGCCGUGGGCG
rfam:Gonapodya prolifera JEL478 unplaced genomic scaffold M427scaffold_29, whole genome shotgun sequence.